UGGGCAACCUGCCCCUCUCUCUGGGAUAACCCCGGGAAACCGGAGCUAAUACCGGAUACUCCGGCUGGAUCGCAUGGUCCGGCCGGGAAAGGUCCGCCGGAGAGGGAUGGGCCCGCGGCCUAUCAGCUUGUUGGUGGGGUAACGGCUCACCAAGGCUACGACGGGUAGCUGGUCUGAGAGGACGACCAGCCACACUGGAACUGAGAUACGGCCCAGACUCCUACGGGAGCA
rnacentral:rRNA from 1 species